UGGGGAAUAUUGCGCAAUGGGGGAAACCCUGACGCAGCGACGCCGCGUGUGGGAUGAAGGUCUUCGGAUUGUAAACCACUGUCGCGAGGGACGAAGCUCUGACGGUACCUCGAAAGGAAGCACCGGCUAACUCUGUGCCAGCAGCCGCGGUAAUACAGAGGGUGCGAGCGUUGUCCGGAAUCACUGGGCGUAAAGGGCGCGUAGGCGGCCCGGUAAGUAGGGGGUGAAAUCUCAUGGCUCAACUGUGAGGCUGCCUUCUAGACUGCCAGGCUUGAGCACAGUAGAGGCGAGUGGAAUUCCCGGUGUAGCGGUGGAAUGCGUAGAGAUCGGGAAGAACAUCGGUGGCGAAGGCGGCUCGCUGGGCUGUUGCUGACGCUGAGGCGCGAAAGCGUGGGGAGCAAACAGGAUUAGAUACCCACGUAGUCCCUGAGCGGGCUGGCAAGGCGCAU
rnacentral:rRNA from 1 species